rnacentral:rRNA from 1 species
AGGAUAAACGCUGGCGGCGUGCUUCAGGCAUGCAAGUCGAACGAACUUCCAGACUUCGGUUUGGCGGUUAGUGGCGGACGGGUGAGUAACACGUAAGUAACCUGCCCAGAAGUGGGGAAUAACUGACCGAAAGGUUAGCUAAUACCGCAUGUGGUGGUCUUUCUACGGAUUGACCAUUAAAGGAUUUAUUCGCUUCUGGAGGGGCUUGCGGUCGAUUAGCUAGUUGGUGGGGUAAUGGCCUACCAAGGCUUCGAUCGAUAGCUGGUCUGAGAGGACGGACAGCCACACGGGGACUGAGAUACGGCCCCGACUCCUACGGGAGGCAGCAGCUAGGAAUCUUGGGAAUGGGCGAAAGCCUGACCCAGCAACGCCGCGUGGGCGAUGAAGGCCUUCGGGUUGUAAACCUCUUUCGUCAUCGACGAAGCCCUUCGGGGUGACGGUAGGUGGAGAAGAAGCACCGGCCAACUACGUGCCAGCAGCCGC